ensembl:lncRNA novel transcript
GAGCUCACCGGCCUCACCCAAGCUCGCAGCAUUGUGCCGGGAAAGGAUGUUCUCGGCUCCGGCCUUUUUCCUCCUCUCCUGGGGACAGAACAUGGAUCCUGGAAGGCAUUGAGGACCCUGUGCUCAGCCCCUGCCCAUCCCUUCCACCACUUAUCUGUCCUGUAGGCACACUGACGCGGCUUUCACAAAAUGGGAGGCUCUGAGAGGUGAGCUCCCAGGAGACAGGACCAAGGUCUGCCUUCAUCCUGAAGUUUGCAGGGCAGAGGCCCAGAUCCUGCAAAGGUGAUGUGCUCAGGAAGCCACAGCGGAGCCCCACACGCACCAUGUGAGUCACGCUGGUGCCACAGGCUUGAACUCUGCUGGACACAAACAGCCUGGGGGGUGUGGAAGUGGGCAUUACCGCUGUGCUGUUCUUACUUGGGGCAGUGUCUCCAAUAUCCCUUUCCCAUUCAGCAACUGUGCAACACCUGACUUCAGAAACAGACGUCUAGAGCCCUGCCUGAUGGAGCCAGGACCAGCUUGCCUGGUGGAUCUGUGCCCUGGGGACCCGCUUGGGCUCUAGCACAGCAUGUGCUGUAGAGUCAAGCACACAUGAGGUGGCCCCACUGCCCUGCAGACCACAGAUGCAGCCCCAGCUCACCAUUGACAUCUGUCCCCAGUCAGACCUCUUUACGCAGCAUUCUAGCCUCUCGUUCUCUGCCACACCCAUUGCCCCACUCACCCCGCCCUCUCCACUCACUGGAGCUGCCCAGCAUCCUCAUCCCUCUUCUAAGCAACAUGCCUUCCUCCCCAUACCCAACAUCUUUGCCUGG